CGGGCGGUAGCUCAGCUUGGUAGAGCUUCCGAGCCCCUUAGCAACUCUAGGCGGCGGAGACGCUGUAGACGCCCACCCAUGGGUGGGCGUCGCUCAGCCUACCAAGCGUACAGGUAUGGUGCAGAAACCGGAGUGUCGCAGGUUCAAAUCCUGCCCGCCCGA
rnacentral:tRNA from 1 species